AAUUGAUGGAAAGUCCUUGCUCCUGAUGCAGCGUAGUGACGUGUUAACUGGCCUGUCCAUCAGACUUGGGCCCGCCUUAAAGAUCUACGAGCGCCACGUGAAGAUGCUGCAGAGGACCCACUUCCUGGAUGAGGAGGAUGAUCUCUGACCACGGUUGGGGGAAACAGAACAACACACUCCUCUGAGGAGCAGAUGUAUUCAAACAGUAUACACACAUACUGUGUUCACUGGAUGUCUAGAACCUUCUGUAACCAUUCAAUGAGGUGUGGGGAAAAGGACACCGUGGUCAUGACUUGGGCCUUGACAGUGAUUAUCAACGUGUGUACGUGGGCUUCCAUUCCACCUCUCUGUGGUACUGCUGUCACCUGACCCAUUCUGGUGGUAUUGCUUUUAUAGGACCCCUCUCUAAACUCACAUAGGAAUGUUAGGAUCCUGCCUAAUGACGCUAUAGAAGUCAAGUGGAGGUCUGCCUGUUCUGUAAGGGGAGGUCUGCCUGUUCUGUAAGGGGAGGUCUGCCUGUUCUCUAAGGGGAGGUCUGCCUGUUCUCUAAGGGGAGGUCUGCCUGUUCUCUAAGGGGAGGUCUGCCUGUUCUCUAAGGGGAGGUCUGCCUGUUCUGUAAGGGGAGGUCUGCCUGUUCUGUAAGGGGAGAUCUGCCUGUUCUGUAAGGGGAGGUCUGCCUGUUCUGUAAGGGAGGUCUGCCUGUUCUGUAAGGGGAGGUCUGCCUGUUCUGUAAGGGGAGGUCUGCCUGUUCUCUAAGGGGAGGUCUGCCUGUUCUCUAAGGGAGGUCUGCCUGUUCUCUAAGGGGAGGUCUGCCUGUUCUCUAAGGGGAGGUCUGCCUGUUCUCUAAGGGGAGGUCUGCCUGUUCUCUAAGGGGAGGUCUGCCUGUUCUCUAAGGGGAGGUCUGCCUGUUCUCUAAGGGGAGGUCUGCCUGUUCUCUAAGUGGAGGUCUGCCUGUUCUGUAAGGGGAGGUCUGCCUGUUCUGUAAGGGGAGAUCUGCCUGUUCUGUAAGGGGAGGUCUGCCUGUUCUGUAAGGGGAGGUCUGCCUGCUCUGUAAGGGGAGGUCUGCCUGCUCUGUAAGGGGCGGGUCAGUGAGUGCAGCCAAAGACUCUCUCUGGAUUCCUCAGACUCUACACUUGGCUACCACUGGAGCCUACUUUAAAAGACUGGUUUCUGUGCUCCCUGAGUCAGUUCCACAAGAAAAUAAUAACAUGUAUACUUGGAAUAUCUGUUCCAGCAAAUAUGGUUCUAGCAUUUCUUCAUUGUUUACUCAGACAGUAUUUUUUUAAAGACAUGUCAUAUGGUACCCUCCAUUUAUCUAGAAACUCAACGUUGUUUUUCUUUUAUGAUGACAAUGUGAACUGAUUUAAUUUGAGAAUGUACAGUAUGAAUUUGUUGAUUCAUCAAAGGUCAGUGAUGUUGUCAAUCUCUCAUUAUACCAGCAAAGGAAAUGGAGCUUAGUCUCCAGAUGUUCUCAUGGCUGCACCAGUACUGACCUAUGUUUUAUUACUGUUGUUAUCUGUUUCACUAACAUUUCGAAAUAGCAAUAUGUAGUACCUGCUAAACUAAGGCAACAUAAUAUGUUCUUUGUAUGGUUGCCUUCUGCAUUCCUCUUCCCUUAAUUUAUGUUCACGUAAUCUCUAAACAUUUUAGAUGAAUCUAAUUUAAUCUACUGUGGAUGAACCUAGAUUUCAUCUACAAAAUUAAAACAGUUUGAAGCAGAAUUCUAGUUGAAAUGGGCUGGCAGAUCAGAACCAACAUAGCUCAAGGCCCCAAUGUUUCUGCCUGCUUCAGUUUGAGGGGAGAGAAACAACUGAAUUAUGGUCUUUUUUUUAAAGGGAAAAUUAUCCAACCAAAAUUUUACUUCAUAACUUUAGGAAGUGUCAUUGUAGCACUAAUACAUUUUCUUUGUUUACAACUUCAACACAGCAACACAAUUCCCCACGACAUGGUAGACAUCUUGAUCAAAUUCAACAUUGUUGUUAUCUGAGAGGAUUACAAUGACGUCUCUUAAUUUUGCCUUGUGGCUUCUGCUUUUGAAACAACGUCACAUUCCAUAUUUCCAUCUGUUACGUGUGUGAUGUCACACUGUUAAUUGCUAUGUUGGCCCUGUUUCCAGGGGGGGAAUGAAGUUAUUGUCUUUUC